UACGUAGGAGGCAAGCGUUGUCCGGAAUCACUGGGCGUAAAGCGCGUGUAGGUGGAAGAGGAAGUCUGCUGUGAAAGCGCCUGGCUUAACCGGGCGAGGUCGGUGGAAACUCCUCAUCUCGAGGGCGGUAGAGGGGGGUGGAAUUCCGGGUGUAGUGGUGAAAUGCGUAGAGAUCCGGAGGAACACCUGUGGCGAAGGCGGCCCCCUGGGCCGCACCUGACGCUGAGACGCGAAAGCGCGGGGAGCGAACGGG
rnacentral:rRNA from 1 species